rnacentral:rRNA from 1 species
ACGGGAUCCAUCAGGCUUUGCUUGGUGGUGAGAGUGGCGAACGGGUGAGUAAUGCGUGACCGACCUGCCCCAUACACCGGAAUAGCUCCUGGAAACGGGUGGUAAUGCCGGAUGCUCCGACUCCUCGCAUGGGGUGUCGGGAAAGAUUUCAUCGGUAUGGGAUGGGGUCGCGUCCUAUCAGGUAGUCGGCGGGGUAACGGCCCACCGAGCCUACGACGGGUAGCCGGCCUGAGAGGGCGACCGGCCACAUUGGGACUGAGAUACGGCCCAGACUCCUACGGGAGGCAGCAGUGGGGAAUAUUGCACAAUGGGCGCAAGCCUGAUGCAGCGACGCCGCGUGCGGGAUGACGGCCUUCGGGUUGUAAACCGCUUUUGAUCGGGAGCAAGCCUUCGGGUGAGUGUACCUUUCGAAUAAGCACCGGCUAACUACGUGCCAGCAGCCGCGGUAAUACGUAGGGUGCAAGCGUUAUCCGGAAUUAUUGGGCGUAAAGGGCUCGUAGGCGGUUCGUCGCGUCCGGUGUGAAAGUCCAUCGCUUAACGGUGGAUCUGCGCCGGGUACGGGCGGGCUGGAGUGCGGUAGGGGAGACUGGAAUUCCCGGUGUAACGGUGGAAUGUGUAGAUAUCGGGAAGAACACCAAUGGCGAAGGCAGGUCUCUGGGCCGUUACUGACGCUGAGGAGCGAAAGCGUGGGGAGCGAACAGGAUUAGAUACCCUGGUAGUCCACGCCGUAAACGGUGGAUGCUGGAUGUGGGGCCCGUUCCACGGGUUCCGUGUCGGAGCUAACGCGUUAAGCAUCCCGCCUGGGGAGUACGGCCGCAAGGCUAAAACUCAAAGAAAUUGACGGGGGCCCGCACAAGCGGCGGAGCAUGCGGAUUAAUUCGAUGCAACGCGAAGAACCUUACCUGGGCUUGACAUGUUCCCGACAGCCGUAGAGAUAUGGCCUCCCUUCGGGGCGGGUUCACAGGUGGUGCAUGGUCGUCGUCAGCUCGUGUCGUGAGAUGUUGGGUUAAGUCCCGCAACGAGCGCAACCCUCGCCCUGUGUUGCCAGCACGUCAUGGUGGGAACUCACGGGGGACCGCCGGGGUCAACUCGGAGGAAGGUGGGGAUGACGUCAGAUCAUCAUGCCCCUUACGUCCAGGGCUUCACGCAUGCUACAAUGGCCGGUACAACGGGAUGCGACACGGCGACGUGGAGCGGAUCCCUGAAAACCGGUCUCAGUUCGGAUUGGAGUCUGCAACCCGACUCCAUGAAGGCGGAGUCGCUAGUAAUCGCGGAUCAGCAACGCCGCGGUGAAUGCGUUCCCGGGCCUUGUACACACCGCCCGUCAAGUCAUGAAAGUGGGUAGCACCCGAAGCCGGUGGCC